rnacentral:misc_RNA from 1 species
AUACUUCGGUUAAAAACUGCAAAUAUUGAAGAUUGUAGUUAGCCUCUGCAGGAAGCCAAUUUACUGAAGAAGGCUAUUAAUUCUUCAAAUUACCACUUGUGAAAUCAAGGGGCAUAGCUAGUAAUAAAUAAGUAGAAAAUGUAUAGCUCAUGAAACAUCACCGCUUAUUACAACUAACAGUGAUGAGAAAUGACAACUGACUACUGUACUUAUAUCAAAUUUCAGAGAGGUAAAGCCACGGUAA